GUUCGAUCAUGGCUCAGAUUGAACGCUGGCAGGAUGCCUUUACACAUGCAAGUCGAACGGCAGCACAGACUUCGGUCUGGUGGCGAGUGGCGAACCGGGUGAGUAAUGUGCGGAACGUGCCCUGGCGGGGACGCUUCCGCGAAAGCGUAGCUAAUACCGCAUACGCCCUUCGAGGAAAGCGGGGACCUUCGGGCCUCGCACUAUUGAAGCGG
rnacentral:misc_RNA from 1 species